rnacentral:tRNA from 9 species
CGGGAUGUAGCUCAGCUUGGUAGAGCGUCCGCUUUGGGAGCGGAAGGUCGCAGGUUCAAAUCCUGUCAUCCCGA